UUUUUUUUUUUUUUUUUUUUUUAAGACUGUCGCCCAGGCUGGAGUGCAAUGGCACGAUUUCGUUUCACUGCAACCUCUGCCUCCCAGGUUCAAGCAAUUCUCAUACCUCAGCUUACUGAGCAGCUGGGAUUACAGGAGCGCACCACCACGCCUGGCUAAUUUUUUUGGUAUUUGUAUUAGAGACGGGGUUUCACCGUGUUGGCCAGGCUGGUCUCAAACUCCUGACCUUAGGUGAUCUGCCUGCCUCGGCCUCUCAAAGUGCUGGGAUUACAGGCAUGAGCCACUGCAUUCGGCCUCAUUUGUUAAUCAUCUGCAGCUAGAAUAGUUCCCCAUCCUGAAUUAGGAAAGAUUAGAGUUUAAAUAAGAAUAUGUCUGUGUGAAAUAUAGUAAUUAGUUGUAUAUAGAUAUAUGCUCACAUGUACUCACUUAGCAGAAUAUGCUUAUUCUCUAAACUUUAUGUAAUUCUCAUGAUUCUUCAAUUAACUAUUUUGUUUCUCACAUUCUCUGUUGAAGAUCCAUUAAAAUAUUUUAAAAACUAGAAACACAUAAACUUGAGCAAACUAAAUCAACCUGUUAGCAGUUAUGUCUUAUUCAAACCUGCCAGACAACAAAUUACAAACUUAAGGACUGAAAUUAGCUGCUCUUGACUUAUUAUUACCAUUUAGAAGAAUUCAGUUACUUUAUAUUUGAAACUUCCUGAGGGCAGGCACUUUGUUUUUAUAUUUUUGUUUCCCAGUUUUUGGAACAGUGCCAGGCACAUAGCAGCUGCCUUUAACAAAUCUUUUCUGAGUGAAAAAAUGACAGGUGAGUGAAUGAAGAUUGCAUCAUUUCUCUUGAAAUUCUAUGGAGAUUCAUGAUCCUUUUGUAGUUCAUGAACAUGAUGACUGGGUGUUCAUGCGCAUGUGUGAGAUGUGCCACCCUUGAACUUUGUUACAAUGUCAGUGUAUUACCCGUCUGACCUGAAAAGAGAAAAAAAUUAAAUUCUUUGGAGAUGCCUUGCCUAGGUGCUUUCUGGUUCAAUCGAUAGUGGACUACUUUUUUUAAAAAAAAAACACAUAAGAUAUUAUGUGUGUGUUCUGAAAAGUCCUUGAAUUUUUUUCUGACGUUGAUUUUACAAAGAGCUUUAAGAAGUUGGAUAGCCAUCAUGCAUCCCUUUAAAAACCAUAUAUAGUUAUUUAUGUCUUAUCCCUAGAUUCUCAGACUGUGAGAACCCAACAGGCAGAGCUUCUUUGAAUCCCUCCAGAGGAUUGACCAUAGUGCCAAGACAGCAGACACUCGAUAGAUAUGACCAAAUGAAUGAAAAAAUGCUGUCCGAUAAUUUUGACUUAGAGAAUUUUUAUCCGAAGAGUUUCUUGUUCUCAUACAAGUCUUCCUCUUCCAGCUGCACCUUCUACUGCACUGGUUCUCACAGAGAAUUCUUGAUUCUCCCUGCAUAAAGGCCAUCCAGAUAGAUGAGGAUGCUAUAGUCAGUCUCAUAGUUGUUGCUCCUUUCACAAACAAUGUUUGCUCUAUAACUAAGAUCUAAUUAAACUGUUAUGCCCCUACAUUCCUCUGAGGACUAAGCUGAGGGUGAUUUUUCCAGGCUUCUAAUCCCUUAAAUUGCCUAUGCAUUAGACUAUCUCCCUGUGGCCAUUAUUGACAACACCUCAAAAUAUAACUGAAUUGUGCCAGAAAGGAAAUGCACUUGAAUGGAAAAGCCCUUGCCUUUGGAUG
ensembl:lncRNA